rnacentral:rRNA from 1 species
UUAAUAUCCGAUAGCAUAUAUUUCCCGCAUGGGUUUUAUAUUAAAGAAAUUCGGUAUGAGAUGGGGAUGCGUUCCAUUAGUUUGUUGGGGGGGUAACGGCCCACCAAGACUACGAUGGAUAGGGGUUCUGAGAGGAAGGUCCCCCACAUUGGAACUGAGACACGGUCCAAACUCCUACGGGAGGCAGCAGUGAGGAAUAUUGGUCAAUGGACGCGAGUCUGAACCAGCCAAGUAGCGUGAAGGAUGACUGCCCUAUGGGUUGUAAACUUCUUUUAUAUGGGAAUAAAGUUGUCCACGUGUGGAUUUUUGUAUGUACCAUAUGAAUAAGGAUCGGCUAACUCCGUGCCAGCAGCCGCGGUAAUACGGAGGAUCCGAGCGUUAUCCGGAUUUAUUGGGUUUAAAGGGAGCGUAGGCGGAUUGUUAAGUCAGUUGUGAAAGUUUGCGGCUCAACCGUAAAAUUGCAGUUGAUACUGGCAGUCUUGAGUGCAGUAGAGGUGGGCGGAAUUCGUGGUGUAGCGGUGAAAUGCUUAGAUAUCACGAAGAACUCCGAUUGCGAAGGCAGCUCACUGGAGUGUAACUGACGCUGAUGCUCGAAAGUGUGGGUAUCAAACAGGAUUAGAUACCCUGGUAGUCCACACAGUAAAC